GCUGCCCCUUGAGGCGUUACAGCACAGCUGGUGGUGCUGCUGCUGGGUCAUAAGGUGGCAGAGAGGGACUGGUGUUGGUCUGCACUGAGACUCUAGAACAUCCAGAGGACUCGGAGUCAUUAUCAGCACCAACACU